UACAGAGGUCUCAAGCGUUGUUCGGAUUCAUUGGGCGUAAAGGGUGUGUAGGUGGCGCCGUUAGUCGGGUGUGAAAUUUCGGAGCUUAACUCCGAAACUGCAUUCGAUACUGGCGUGCUUGAGGACUGGAGAGGAGACUGGAAUUCAUGGUGUAGCAGUGAAAUGCGUAGAGAUCAUGAGGAAGACCAGUGGCGAAGGCGGGUCUCUGGACAGUUCCUGACACUGAGACACGAAGGCCAGGGGAGCAAACGGG
rnacentral:rRNA from 1 species